UGCUUACACAUGCAAGUCGAACGCUGAAGCCUGGUGCUUGCACCGGGUGGAUGAGUGGCGAACGGGUGAGUAACACGUGAGUAACCUGCCCCUGACUUCGGGAUAAGCCCGGGAAACUGGGUCUAAUACCGGAUACGACUGCCGGACGCAUGUCUGGUGGUGGAAAGUUUUUUCGGUUGGGGAUGGGCUCGCGGCCUAUCAGUUUGUUGGUGAGGUAAUGGCUCACCAAGACGACGACGGGUAGCCGGCCUGAGAGGGCGACCGGCCACACUGGGACUGAGACACGGCCCAGACUCCUACGGGAGGCAGCAGUGGGGAAUAUUGCACAAUGGGGGAAACCCUGAUGCAGCGACGCAGCGUGCGGGAUGACGGCCUUCGGGUUGUAAACCGCUUUCAGCAGGGAAGAAGCGCAAGUGACGGUACCUGCAGAAGAAGUACCGGCUAACUACGUGCCAGCAGCCGCGGUAAUACGUAGGGUACGAGCGUUGUCCGGAAUUAUUGGGCGUAAAGAGCUCGUAGGUGGUUGGUCACGUCUGCUGUGGAAACGCAACGCUUAACGUUGCGCGUGCAGUGGGUACGGGCUGACUAGAGUGCAGUAGGGGAGUCUGGAAUUCCUGGUGUAGCGGUGAAAUGCGCAGAUAUCAGGAGGAACACCGGUGG
rnacentral:rRNA from 1 species